CGGGGGCCGACGGAGAGCGGGCGGCGUGCACCCGCGGCGCGGACCCAGAGCCGCGAGCAGGUCGCGGGCGGUGUGGACCGGGGAACGCUCCACUGAUCAAGUCCAAGAAGGGAUGAGCUGAUGGAAAAUGAUUUGAAAUGGAUAUCGGAUAUCAUUUCCCUCAUACCCGGGAAGCUCCUAGGAAUCAACAGGAAAAAGACCGAGCUGAGAAGCGGUGAGCUGGACUGCCCUGUGCAUACCAGGGCAGGGACAUCCGUCACCGGCUUCCUAGUCAAAGCAGAUGGCAGCAGCCUGUCCCUACCUCGGGUCCCCUGGCCGCUUGCUCUCCUGCAUUAGGAAGGCUGUAAAUGGUGAAAAAGUACUACGUGCCCCAGGAAAGAGGAUCACGCUACUAAAACCCAAUAAGGAUCUCUGAGAACAAUGGUAUUCGCUUUCUUAGGAACGUUAAAGUAUCUUCUUUCAGGGACUAAGAUGCUUUGUAACUGCAAACACUAUUGUAUGUGCAUCAGGCUGUCAAAAAUGUCUGUCACGGGCUUGUUUCUGGCUCACAAGACCUCAACUGUGUGCGCAGCUCAACCCGUGUGUGCACGGUGUCAGGUGGUGAGACACAGAAUAGAAAAACAGCCGCGGCAACUUCGACAGCAAUGAUUCUUUA